rnacentral:rRNA from 1 species
UGGGGAAUAUUGCACAAUGGGCGAAAGCCUGAUGCAGCAACGCCGCGUGAGUGAUGAAGGCCUUCGGGUCGUAAAACUCUGUCCUCAAGGAAGAUAAUGACGGUACUUGAGGAGGAAGCCCCGGCUAACUACGUGCCAGCAGCCGCGGUAAUACGUAGGGGGCUAGCGUUAUCCGGAUUUACUGGGCGUAAAGGGUGCGUAGGUGGUUUCUUAAGUCAGGAGUGAAAGGCUACGGCUCAACCGUAGUAAGCUCUUGAAACUGGGGAACUUGAGUGCAGGAGAGGAAAGUGGAAUUCCUAGUGUAGCGGUGAAAUGCGUAGAUAUUAGGAGGAACACCAGUAGCGAAGGCGGCUUUCUGGACUGUAACUGACACUGAGGCACGAAAGCGUGGGGAGCAAACA